UAUAUAUAUAAAUAGGUCCGGUCGUUCAAUCGAUUCCUGACAGUGUUACGCAUUGCCCGCUCUCUAGAAAAUAAAGCAGAGUGCCAUUUUAUGGAUAUAACAGUACCUGGUGGGAAUGAUCCUGAGGAAGUGACUCGUGAGUCGCUUAUCGCCAUUUCUUACGAGGAACCAGAAACAGCUCUCUCUUCAAAGCGAUCAUCUGGAAAGCUCAGUAGCGAAAACCUCAAUCUGGUCAACGGGAUAGACCACAAUCUGGUGGAAGGGAAAGAAUACGAUGUAGAGAAAUAUAGAUCUGAGCUGAUAGCUAUUUCCUUUCUUGAGUCACCACCUGAAAUUGGAAGUGGAACCGUGACCGAACUCAAGGGUUAGUGCCUGGACGUCCGUUAUCAUAAAUGUAUACGCUCUUAUGUAAAAAUGGUACUAAUCUAAGUUCAUGGAUGUGUUGUUAUGACUGUAGAGCAAUGCUGUCCAUGUUCGUUGUUUUUGUAACAUAAACCCUCUGCACGGGUUGUCUGUCUGUACUAUCUUGUGGAAACUUAUUGCUGUGUGAACCCAAUGAAUGAACUUGGUACUCAGCAUUUUUCUUAUACAUUUAUGUCAUUUUAUUGUAAUAUCAUACAGUGGUGCCUUAAAUAUUGUAUAUAGUUUAUACAUUGUAUGUUAAUAGUUUCAAACUAAUUAUUGUUUCAAGUAGUUUAUAGUUAAGAUGAUUGAGUUUAGUACUUGAGGAGAGUCGUUUGAUAUCUAUGCUAACUAUUCGGCCGGCUUGGUUAGUUUAGUUGCAUAACAUUGUUAUGUGCUUGUUAUACUGCUCAUUGUUUCUGAGUGGUUCGUUUUUUUAUUGUUAGUGUCAAAAACUUGAUUCCAAACUAUUCUCCUGACUGAAGUUUGUAAAUCCAGCCAAAAUUUAGCAAAUAGUUGCACAAUUUUCUUGGAAUGCUGAAAGAAUUGAUAAAUGAUCUUUAGUUAUGAAUGAGACAGGUGAAAAAUGGGGUGACAAAAUCUGACUUGUAGAUUGAUGGAGAACGGUGGAAACAACCAGGAUCCUUGUAGCCUUUCAACAUCAGAUUCACAAGAAAUAGAGUGAGUUUAGGACACAUGAGUUUCAUUUUGGGUGAAUUAGUUAAUAAGCUUGCUGCUUGUGUUUUUUACUCCAUCUCCUUUUCAUUUCAAUUGUUUCUUUUCUCUAGCCUGCCUUAGCUGAGUUGAUCAAACUCCAGGCCCCACAGAAGAGCACCGUAAGGGAGUUUUGUGCAUUUAGUUUAGGAAAUGAGAUUAAAGUGCAUUAGAACAAGCGGCGUAGUUUAAAAUUAUUAGUUCAAGGUUCAUACCUCCUUUUAUUGUCCUUUAGUAAUUUUUUAAAGGUCUGGUUUUUGUAGUCUUGUUGAGUCAGGUUGCUGCUAGAAUAUUGAUUCUUUGCUUUUAUUGAGUCUUGGCUGGGACGUCAACAACAAUGCAUGCAACUUAGACUAGAUUACCUGCUUAAUUUCAAAUCUGCUGUUCUUCUGAAUUAGUCAUUGUACGUAUGAGUUUUUCCAUGCAAAACCUGCACACAAUUUCAAUGGACAUCUAAAGAUCAUUUGCCUGUUUGAUUAACUGCAAUCAAAUGCUUGUCUAUAUGUGCUGUAAGACUCUAGUUACUGCAUUUACAUGCUAGGUCUUUUGAAGUUCAAGGGGUGUGAUUGUGUUUAGAAAUUUUGUUCAUAUUUUUUUGUUGUCAUUCAUUGCCAGUGCCGUUAAUAGUUCAUUGCAUAGCUUCUGCACAUUUGUCCAAGCUAGAAUAAUAUAGCUUCUGCACGUCGCUUAUUGCCAUCUAUUGCGUGGAACCAGUAACAAUUUUCUCUUCAAAGCAAUCAUCUGGAAAGCUUGGUAGCGAAAACCUCAAUCUGGUCAAUGAGAUAGACCACAAUCUGGUGAAAGGGAAAGAAUACAAUGAUGAUAAAUAUAGAUCUGAGCUGACAGCUAUUUCCUACCUCGAGUCACCACCUGAAAUUGGAAGUGGAACAGUGGCCGAACACAAGGAUUCCAAAUUUUAGCAAAUGGUUGUACAAAGUUCCUGGAAUGCUGAAAGAAUUGAAAAAUGAUCUUUAGCUAUGAAUGAGACGGGUCAAAAAUGAUGGAGAACGAUGGAAACAACCGGAAUCAUCGGUAGCCUUUCCACAUCAGAUUCACAAGAAUAGGGUCAGGAGGCAGUGGGCGUCAUUGAUGAAAACAAAGAAACGGGUUUAAAGCAUGCUGAAAGGCCAAUCAAAGAGUUUGGAGAACAAAUUCAGUUAAGUAUUCUGAGGCUGUAAAUUUUGUUGGGAUUUGGACCAAACAGACACUUGGCUUUCAUGAUUUAGGCAAAUGGGGCUCUGAAUAAUUUGUGGGGGUUGCAAAGGCUAAAAUACGGUGAAGAACAGGGAAAUAUUUAACCAAAUCAUGAAAAUGGGGUUAAAGGAGGUUUUGAUACUUAAAAGAGAUGCAAUAGUUUGACCUUGGGAACCAUGGAGAGCACAAUCUUAGGGCCAUUUUUAGGAUGCCAACAAACAAAUUUCCUAAAAUUUUUAGUUGGAUUCCAUGAAUAUGGUUGUUGUUGGAGCACAAUAUUUUAGGUAACCAAUAUUUUAGGUAACCAUCACACUUCAAGUCCCAGUUACCAUAUAUUAUUCUAACUUUUAUCUAUGAAGUUCAAGAUAAUAUUGUAGCUUUUGAAAAAAACGGAGUAUUUUUUAAACCUAGGAUAGGAUAGAUUAGGAAUAUUUUUGGUAAUUUAGCCCAAGAAAAUCAACCAAAUUAGGAUGUGGGUUGGUGGGUGAACUGGAAAUGGGAAUGGGAAGUUAAAUAUUAAGAUCCUACCUGGUGGUUUUGGAGUACCUAAUGGGAAGGUUAGUGUUAAUUAAGUAUAAUAUUAUUAUUGCACUGUUAGUAUAGUGCCCACAACCGAGGAUAAGGAUGAAUCUUGAGCCUUUUGUCAAUGGUAGGGAGUAAAAGUAUCUUGGUAUGUCGAUUUUCUUGAAUAGGAGUGGUAAACAAAAAACACCCAAGUGUGAAAAAAACUCUGUGGUUUGGACACGAGGAUGGCGAUUACAAAAGAGAAGAUUAUUUUUGUUUAUAAUCUCUUAAAAAUUAUCCUCACAAGACGCUGAACAAAACGGCCUCUUUGUACUACUAUCCUUGUCGUAUUUUAAUGUAUUAGACUUUUUAACACGAUACAUUGUUUAGAGACCAAACCCUCCGAUGGAAAAAGGCUUGGAACCGUAGCUUUUAAGAACUUGUCAGUCAGGCAGUGGAUUAACAGUCGUAUUUUAAUGUAUUAGACUUUUUAACACGAUACAUUGUUUAGAGACCAAACCCUCCGAUGGAAAAAGGCUUGAAACCGUAGCUUUUAAGAACUUGUCACUGAGGCAGUGGAUUAACACCGUAACAAAGUAGACUCUUUUUCCCAGGGGCCUUGCAUGCAAGAGGGAAGGGCUUUUUCCCUGGAGGUAUCUGGAUAAACAGGACAAAUGAUUUCUUGAUCCCAAGGCCUUUACUUACCGUAAAAGAAAAAAAUCAACUGCUUACCAUAAGGAGAGCUUCUAGAUAGGAGAGCUUCUAGAUUAUUUCCCCCCUUUUUUUUGCUUUAAUUCUUUUGUGGAAAAUUUUAGUAUUGUAUAGCGUGGACUAUUUUUCAUAUUAUUCUCAUAUAUUGAUUCGUGUUAGCAUUAUUUUUAAGAAUUAAAAGAGGUAGGUAGUAUGGCUUGACUAAAAAAAUUCCAAUUUGAGCUUGUCCCUUGUUGAUUUGGCCCGAGAAUAAGGCUUAGUUUGGGGUUGUUAUGCUAAUGCCCCCAUUGGACUGCUUGAAAAACAUUUGAAUUUGUGUUGGCUGCCGUAUUUUGGUGUAAGACUGGCUUAAGAUGUCAAAGUUAGAAGUUUGUUACUUAAAUAUUGAGAUCCCUGACCGGUUGGAAAGAGGUGUAGAAACCUCUCCCUAACAGAUGUAUUUUAAAACCGUGAGGCUAACGACAA